GUGCUUGCUUUGGCAGCACAUAUACUAAAAUUGAAACGAUACAGAGAAGACUAAUAUGCAUGGCCUCUGUGCAAGGAUGACAUGCAAAUUCGUCAAGUGUUAAAUAUUUUA
ensembl:snRNA U6 U6 spliceosomal RNA